rnacentral:rRNA from 1 species
UACGAAGGGGGCUAGCGUUGUUCGGAAUUAUUGGGCGUAAAGGGCGCGUAGGCGGCUUUUCAAGUGACGGGUGAAAUCCCUCGGCUUAACCGAGGAACUGCCUGUCAGACUGGAAGGCUUGAGACCGGGAGAGGUGAGUGGAAUUCCCAGUGUAGCGGUGAAAUGCGUAGAUAUUGGGAGGAACACCAGUGGCGAAGGCGGCUCACUGGACCGGAACUGACGCUGAGGCGCGAAAGCGUGGGGAGCGAACAGG